UCGAGGGGCAGCAUGGCCUAUCUUUCGGGAUGGGCCGAUGGCGACCGGCGCACGGGUGAGUAACGCGUAUCCAACCUUCCCUUUACUGGGGUCCAGCCCGUCGAAAGGCGGAUUAAUCCCCCAUGUUCUCCGUCCCGGACAUCUGUGUCGGAGCAAAGAUUUAUCGGUAAAGGAUGGGGAUGCGUCCGAUUAGCUUGUUGGCGGGGUAACGGCCCACCAAGGCAUCGAUCGGUAGGGGUUCUGAGAGGAAGGUCCCCCACACUGGAACUGAGACACGGUCCAGACUCCUACGGGAGGCAGCAGUGAGGAAUAUUGGUCAAUGGCCGUAAGGCUGAACCAGCCAAGUAGCGUGAGGGAAGACUGCCCUAUGGGUUGUAAACCUCUUUUAUGCGGGGAUAAAGGUGUCCACGUGUGGAUGUUUGCAGGUACCGCAUGAAUAAGGACCGGCUAAUUCCGUGCCAGCAGCCGCGGUAAUACGGAAGGUCCGGGCGUUAUCCGGAUUUAUUGGGUUUAAAGGGAGCGUAGGCCGGUCUUUAAGCGUGCCGUGAAAUUUUGUGGCUCAGCCAUGAGAGUGCGGCGCGAACUGGAGACCUUGAGUGCGCGGAAGGCAGGCGGAAUUCGUGGUGUAGCGGUGAAAUGCUUAGAUAUCACGAAGAACCCCGAUUGCGAAGGCAGCCUGCCGCAGCGUUACU
rnacentral:rRNA from 1 species